AAUAGUAAAUGAAAUUUAGGUGUCCACUUUGUAAAAAUGAUGGAUGAAAAGGGAAUGUGGUUCAAUUCCACAGCAGCCCCCGCUACUGUAAUAGAUGACAAGCCUUUAGUAACCACUCUUUAAAAGGAGGAAGGUAAAGGUUAGAAUGAUUCUUAAGCCAGGAGACCUGCCUAGAUUGUUAAAAUCCUC
rnacentral:ncRNA from 16 species